UACAGAGGGUGCGAGCGUUAAUCGGAAUUACUGGGCGUAAAGCGUGCGUAGACGGUUAUCUAAGUCGGGUGUGAAAGCCCCGGGCUCAACCUGGGAAUUGCAUUCGAGACUGAAUAGCUAGGGUACGGUAGAGGGAAGUGGAAUUUCCGGUGUAGCGGUGAAAUGCGUAGAUAUCGGAAGGAACAUCAGUGGCGAAGGCGACUUCCUGGACCAAUACUGACGCUCAGGUGCGAAAGCGUGGGGAGCAAACAGG
rnacentral:rRNA from 1 species